AUACCUUUCUCGGCCUUUUGGCUAAGAUCAAGUGUAGUAUCUGUUCUUAUCAGUUUAAUAUCUGAUACGUGGAUCAAUGAUCCACAUGAUAUUAAAUUAAUUUUUUUAAGGGAGGGCCUAUUCUGGUAGCUUGCUACUGGGGUCCUCUAGCGUCGCUCAUGCGUUGCACUACUGCAAGAGCCUGGCGUACCCACC
rfam:Jatropha curcas cultivar GZQX0401 scaffold397_5, whole genome shotgun sequence.